ACGGCGUCGAGCGGCGGACGGGUGAGUAAUGCCUAGGAAAUUGCCCUGAUGUGGGGGAUAACCAUUGGAAACGAUGGCUAAUACCGCAUGAUGCCUACGGGCCAAAGAGGGGGACCUUCGGGCCUCUCGCGUCAGGAUAUGCCUAGGUGGGAUUAGCUAGUUGGUGAGGUAAGGGCUCACCAAGGCGACGAUCCCUAGCUGGUCUGAGAGGAUGAUCAGCCACACUGGAACUGAGACACGGUCCAGACUCCUACGGGAGGCAGCAGUGGGGAAUAUUGCACAAUGGGCGCAAGCCUGAUGCAGCCAUGCCGCGUGUGUGAAGAAGGCCUUCGGGUUGUAAAGCACUUUCAGUCGUGAGGAAGGUGGUGUAGUUAAUAGCUGCAUUAUUUGACGUUAGCGACAGAAGAAGCACCGGCUAACUCCGUGCCAGCAGCCGCGGUAAUACGGAGGGUGCGAGCGUUAAUCGGAAUUACUGGGCGUAAAGCGCAUGCAGGUGGUUUGUUAAGUCAGAUGUGAAAGCCCGGGGCUCAACCUCGGAAUAGCAUUUGAAACUGGCAGACUAGAGUACUGUAGAGGGGGGUAGAAUUUCAGGUGUAGCGGUGAAAUGCGUAGAGAUCUGAAGGAAUACCGGUGGCGAAGGCGGCCCCCUGGACAGAUACUGACACCUCAGAUGCAU
rnacentral:rRNA from 1 species